CUUUAUCAGGGUUCCCUUGUAUGUUAUUUGUUGUUUUUUUUUUUCCUAGCUGCUUUCAAGAUUUUCUCUCUCUCAUAUUCCAUUCCUCAGAUUUUCUUCCUCUUUUCUUUCCUUCCUCUGCCACAGGCUUCCUCCAGUUGGUCAGUCUCUUCCUUCCAGUGAAAUGCCUCUGAAUUGUCGUUUUGUAUCUUCUUGCUCUGUCUGCCCUUUUCCCCAAACACAGGAAAGAUUUCGAGGCCCAUUCCUGGGAAAGAGGCCAGAGGGAGGGGAUUGUGUUAGAGGUGAAGAAAGCCUAGUGUUUAAGAAAAGUGUUUAAUAAAAUGCUUCCAUCCAACCAAUAUGUUACCCCCUCGUCCCUCUGUAAGGUAACAGAUUUAGGCUCUUCUCCAAGAGUUCCAGGAGUUUUUCUAUUUGUUUGGUUGUUUAGUUUCUCUUCCUUUGUAGGGUUGUUGGUUUGUUUGUUUGUUUGUUUUAACUUUUGCCUCAUUUAAUGCUUACCUGAACCAGACCAUGGAGAUAUUAGUUUUUGCCUCCCCCCUUUUUUAAUUACUCAAAUGAAUUUAUCACAUCUGUAGUUGUAUAAUGAUCAUAACAAUCUGAUUUCACAGGAUUUCCAUCCCACAGCCCAAGCACAUCCCCCCACCUCCCAAACUGUCUCCUCCGGAGACCAUAAGUUUUUCAAUGUCUAUGAGUCAGCAUCUGUUCUGCAAAGAAGUUCCGUCUGUCCUUUUUUCAGAUUCUGCACGUCAGUGAAAGCAUUUGAUGUUGGUAUCUCAUUGUAUGGCUGACUUCACUUAGCAUGAUAAUUUCUAGGUCCAUCCAUGUUGCUAAAAAUGCCGGUAUUUUGUUCCUUUUAAUGGCUGAGUAAUAUUCCAUUGUGUAUAUGUACCACAUCUUCUUGAUCCACUCCUUUGUCGAUGGACACUUAGGUUGUUUCCAUGUCUUGGCUGUUGCAAAUAGUGCUGCAAUGAACACUGGAGUACAUGUGUCUUUGCGAGGCAUGGUUUUCUCUGGAUAGAUGCCCAGGAGUGGGAUUGCUGGAUCAAAUGGUAGUUCUAUGUUUAGUUUUCUGAGGAAUCUCCAUACUGCUUUCCACAGUGGUCGCACCAAUUUACAAUCCCACCAACAGUGUAAUAGGUUCCUUUUUCUCCACAAUCUCUCCAGCAUU
rnacentral:lncRNA from 9 species